rnacentral:rRNA from 1 species
CGGUUAAGUUAGAAAGGGCGCACGGUGGAUGCCUUGGCACUAGGAGCCGAUGAAGGACGGGACGAACACCGAUAUGCUUCGGGGAGCUGUAAGCAAGCUUUGAUCCGGAGAUUUCCGAAUGGGGAAACCCACCACUCGUAAUGGAGUGGUAUCCAUAUCUGAAUUCAUAGGAUAUGAGAAGGCAGACCCGGGGAACUGAAACAUCUAAGUACCCGGAGGAAGAGAAAGCAAAUGCGAUUCCCUGAGUAGCGGCGAGCGAAACGGGAUUAGCCCAAACCAAGAGGCUUGCCUCUUGGGGUUGUAGGACACUCUGUACGGAGUUACAAAAGAACGAGGUAGAUGAAGAGGUCUGGAAAGGCCCGCCAUAGGAGGUAACAGCCCUGUAGUCAAAACUUCGUUCUCUCCUGAGUGGAUCCUGAGUACGGCGGAACACGAGAAAUUCCGUCGGAAUCCGCGGGGACCAUCCCGCAAGGCUAAAUACUCCCUAGUGACCGAUAGUGAACCAGUACCGUGAGGGAAAGGUGAAAAGCACCCCGGAAGGGGAGUGAAAUAGAUCCUGAAACCGUGUGCCUACAAGUAGUCAGAGCCCGUUAACGGGUGAUGGCGUGCCUUUUGUAGAAUGAACCGGCGAGUUACGAUCUC